rnacentral:rRNA from 1 species
CUUUAAGGGGGGGGGGGGAAACCCCCCUCUCUUUUUUAAAGGGGGUUUCCCUAGUAACGGCSRGUGMRGRGGGARRRGCUSARAUKURARAAUGCUGGUACCUUCGGUAUCCGCGUUGUAACCUCGAGACACGUUUUCCGUGCGGCGCUAUGGACAAGUUCCUUGGAACAGGACAUCGUAGAGGGUGAAAAUCCCGUACUUGCCAUGGAUGUACCGUGCUUUGCGAUACGUGCUCUAAGAGUCGAGUUGUUUGGGAUUGCAGCUCAAAAUGGGUGGUAGACUCCAUCUAAAGCUAAAUAUCGGGGAGAGACCGAUAGCGAACAAGUACCGUGAGGGAAAGAUGAAAAGCACUUUGGAAAGAGAGUUAAAAGUACGUGAAAUUGUCGAAAGGGAAGCGCUUGAAGUCAGCCAUGCCGCUCAGGACUCAGCCUGGCUUUUGCUUGGUGUAUUUCCUGGGUAGCAAGUCAGCAUUGGUUUGGAUCGUCGGAGAAGCAUAGUCGGAAUGUGGCGCCCUCGGGCGUGUUAUAGCCUUCUAUUGGAUACGACGAUCUAGACCAAGGAACGCAGCGCGCCUUUAUGGCGGGUCYYCRGACRCCUUCGCGCUUAGGUGUUGGGGGGUUUAAUAGAGGGAGGGGAGGGAGGCCCCCCAAAAAGA